AAAUUUGGUGUAGUGAAUAGU
rnacentral:miRNA from 1 species